GGCGAGGUAGCUCAACGGUAAGAGCACCGGCGCGUGAGCAGAGGCAGACGCGGGUUCGACUCCCGCCCACGCCG
rnacentral:tRNA from 1 species